rnacentral:rRNA from 1 species
GAAUUUUGGACAAUGGGGGCAACCCUGAUCCAGCCAUCCCGCGUGUGCGAUGAAGCCCUUCGGGUUGUAAAGCACUUUUGGCAGGGAAGAAAAGGCUCUGCCUAAUACCUGGAGCCGCUGACGGUACCUGCAGAAUCCGCACCGGCUACCGACGUCCCAGCCGCCGCGGUAAAACGUAGGGUGCAAGCGUUAAUCGGAAUUACUGGGCGUAAAGCGUGCGCAGGCGGUUCGGCAAGAAGGAUGUGAAAUCCCAGGGCUUAACCUUGGAACUGCAUUCUUAACUGCCGGGCUAGAGUAUGUCAGAGGGGGGUAGAAUUCCGCGUGUAGCAGUGAAAUGCGUAGAGAUGCGGAGGAAUACCGAUGGCGAAGGCAGCCCCCUGGGAUAAUACUGACGCUCAUGCACGAAAGCGUGGGGAGCAAAC